AGUGAACGCUGGCGGCGUGCCUCAUACAUGCAAGUCGAACGGAGUGGAGCACGGGUGAGUAAUGUAUAGCUAAUCUGCCCUACACUAGAGGACAAAAGUUGGAAACGGCUGCUAAUACUCUAUAGUGUAGGAUGAGGCUAUAUUGUAUCAGCUAGUUGGUGAGGUAAUGGCGCACCAAGGCUAUGCAGCAGAACUGGUCUGCGAGGAUGAUCAGUCACAUUGGAACUUAGGCACCGUCCAGACUCCUACGGGAGUCAGCAGUAGGGAAUAUCGCUCAAUGGGGGAAACCCUUAAGCAGCAACGGCGCGUGGAGUAUUACACUCUUCGGAGCGUAAACUCCUUUUGUUACGGAAGCGGUACCUAACGAAUAAGCACCGGCUAACUCCGUGCCAGCAGCCGCGGUAAUUC
rnacentral:rRNA from 1 species